GAUCAUUUUUCGUAGCCUGGAGCGCAUUUGAUUGAGCGUGUGAAAUGUUUCACUGUAGUGACUAUGAGUUUGAACGUUUUAGCGGAGCGCACAAGAGCAUUUCAGUUGAGCGUGCAAGGCCGAGCUUCAAAUUCCAAAUUGGGCCCCAUGAACGCCGCGCUGUGUUCCUUCCUUCCUUCCUUCUUUCGCCCGAGGGGCAGACGGCAGCGCAUUCCGAGGCGAAGCCAGCAGCCCCUCCUG